UACGGAGGGAGCUAGCGUUGUUCGGAAUUACUGGGCGUAAAGCGCACGUAGGCGGCUUUGUAAGUUAGAGGUGAAAAGCCCGGGGGCUCAACCCCCGGAAUUGCCUUUAAGACUGCAUCGCUUGAAUCCGGGAGAGGUGAGUGGAAUUCCGAGUGUAGAGGUGAAAUUCGUAGAUAUUCGGAAGAACACCAGUGGCGAAGGCGGCUCACUGGACCGGUAUUGACGCUGAGGUGCGAAAGCGUGGGGAGCAAACAGG
rnacentral:rRNA from 1 species